GACGAACGCUGGCGGCGUGCUUAACACAUGCAAGUCGAACGGCAAGGCCCUGCUUUUGUGGGGUGCUGGAGUGGCGAACGGGUGAGUAACACGUUGGUAACCUGCCCACGACUUUGGGAUAACUUAAGGAAAGUGGGGCUAAUACCGGGUAGGAGCUCCUGCCGAAUGGUGGGGGUUGGAAAGUUUCGGCGGUUGGGGAUGGACUCGCGCCUUAUCAGCUUGUUGGUGGGGUAGUGGCUUACCAAGGCUUUGACGGGUAGCCGGCCUGAGAGGGUGACCGGCUACAUUGCGACUGCUGUACGGCCCAGACUCCUACGGGCGGCAGCAGUGGGGAAUGGUGCACUAUGGGCGGAAGCCUGAUGCAGCAACGCCGCGUGCGGGAUGACGGCCAUCGGGUUGUAAACCGCUUUCGCCUGUGACGAAGCGUGAGUGACGGUAAUGGGUGAAGAAGCACCGGCUAACUACGUG
rnacentral:rRNA from 1 species